GGGAUAAACGCUGGCGGCGUGCCUAACACAUGCAAGUCGAACGCGCUUUCGGGCUUCGGUGCGAGAGCGAGUGGCGGACGGGUGAGUAACACAUGGGUACCUACCUUGGAGUGAGGGAUACCGGCGAGAAAUCGCCGACAAUACCGCAUAGGCUUCUUCACAAGGGAAGCAAAGUGACGCGAGUCACGCUGUGAGAUGGGCCUGUGGCCGAUUAGCUAGUUGGGGGGUAACGGCUUCCCAAGGCGACGAUCGGUAGCUGGUCUGAGAGGACGAUCAGCCACACUGGGAUUGAGAACGGCCCAGACUCCUACGGGGGGCAGCAGUGAGGAAUUUUCCGCAAAUGGAGGCAACUCUGACGGAGCAACGCCGCGUGCAGGAGGAAGGUUUUCGGAUCGUAAACUGCUUUUCUCGGGGACGAGCAAGGGACGUACCCGAGGAAGAAGCCCCGGCUAACUACGUGCCAGCAGCCGC
rnacentral:rRNA from 1 species